rnacentral:lncRNA from 1 species
ACCAUUCCUUUGGCUGCUGCAGUGCUUUUCAGAAGCCCACGUCCAACCCCACGUGAGUAGCCUGAAGUCGUGGAUGUUCUACAUGACGGCCUCCAAUAGACCAACACAUUUUCUGUUCAGCCAUUAGUGCAGGAGAGGAGGUGUCCCUGGGAAGAUGCUCAGGCAGGGAUGCAUUUUGGAAAGUAGCCCAUCUGGUUCCCCUCUUGACUCACGGGAAGCAACAUCUGCUCCAUGGAGGUUCAACCAAAGCACUGCAUUUAGCAGCAUCGUUUGGUUUUGCAACGGCAUCUCAGCCUGGAGCUGAGCAGAACUGUUCCCGCUGACCGCCGGAAGCAGAAGGGAGCCGGCUGCUGACUUUCCUAAAUAUUGAUGCUUUAGAAAACGACUAUUUCGUGCUUCGUAAACAGCUGAGUGAGGGGCACGUCUCAUUCGCCACCCAAACGGUGCCGAUGGUGCUGCGGGAGGGCGGGACUCUCGGCGGAGGCCACAAACAGACCGACAGCGAAGCACAGCCGGCGGCGCAGCGAGGGAGCCGCGCUCGCGGGGACCCUGAAGAAACUCCUCUGCACUUCAGAAAGCAGGCGGUGCGGUGCCGGUUGGUUGGCUGAGAGCCGCCGGGCUGCGACAGGCGCGAGACGUUCCCGCGGCAGCGCGCUGUGCGCUGUGAGAAGAGCCGGAGCCGGGAAACCUGAAACGCCAUUCUCUUCCCGCCAGAGCAAAGCCCGCCGUCACCCCGAGCGGUCGCGGCUCCGGGCGGCGGCGGACGGCUGUGGGAGCAGAGCGGCGGGCUGCCCCUAGGUGGCGCUCUGCUGCAGCGGAGGGUCGGAGCGGGAAGGGCGAGAGGUGCCGCGGCCCAGUGGAGCCUUUGUCCUGAGGUGCGGCUGCAGGGCGCGCCACCCGCUGUACCCCCUAGCCUGCUAAAAAAGGCUUCUUUCCCAUCGCAGCUUCACGUGCGGGUGUCUUUCUAAGUGCGAAACACCCGGCUUAGGCGGAGUGCUGGCUGCCCUCGGCGAAGUGCUGAGCGUCGCUCGUGGAGCAGUUGGGCCCUGAGCUGCCCCGCCCGCGGCCGCCCGCUCUGCUGCUGCUGCUGCUGCUGCAGCCCCGAGCGCGCACAGCCGCCCCCACAUGGGGCUUUCGUGCAGCUCUGGGGCCGCGCACUCCGGGAGGGAUCGCGGCUGUUCUGUGUGUCUGAUCGCAGACAGCCCGGCAGCACCCGCUGUUCACCCCGCGGGAGCCGUCUGCAGGUGCAGGGCUGGGUUUCCCUGGCGCACGAGAGGGCUUUGCUCUGAAGCUGGAGGUUCAUUCGGCACCAAGGCGGGAGGAAUAACAAAUAAUGCAGUAAGAGUUCAUGAGUUACCUUCAUUUCUGCCGCACAGCUUGGCUAUUGAUUUCAGUGCGCUUUCAGCUCCCUCAGGAUUUCCCCGCUUCCCGCCUUCCCCUCGCCUCGCCCUGCAGUCCCGCGCAGUGCCGGCUGUGGGCAGCCCGCGGCCGGGCGCUGUGGGGAUGUACGGGCGGCCCACACGGCCACGGGAGCAGCGGCAGUGCCACGGCGGGGUCCUGCGCUGGUGCAGUGAUGUCACAGACACCAGAUGUCUGUUACUGCCCAAUUUAACAGCGCCUAAUGAGGUCGCUACCAUAAAAGCGGCACUUAUUUCCUGGGAGCCAUUUGCUAACGUAAUUAAGCCAGCUCUUACGCCUGGUUUUAGAAACCAGCUGAGGGCAGCGCGCGUAUGCGAAACGAAGCAAGGAGGGAAGGCCGGACCCACCCCCGACACGUGUCGUCCACCCAAGACAGGAUCUCUGGGUUGGCCUUAGCAGGAGCAGCUCGGCUCCAGCAGUCCUGUGUGGGGAUCUGGGCCCGCUGGGCUUCCCCCGCUGCUGCUGGUUGGACUGGGGCCGUGUGAGAGCGGGGACACGUAAUGGCCGGUGUGGCACCCAUGGGGCUGCUCAGUGGGGCUGCCACCUCUGCCGCUCUUCACUUCUACGUUCUCCAGAGGGAUGCCACGUGCGUUGUAAUUUGUAAGCGUAAAAGAUGGGUUUUAAUGACUUGUCAGGUGUGAUGUCUUGGGGGCAGUGGAACCUGUGAGAGUUUCUUCGCUUCUUGUUUCUUAGAACAUUGACUUAUGACAGGUGCCACUCUGAUAAGGAACCGCCAGCAGUGUGGCUGCGCCCCAGCGGCCAUCCCGCCCUGCAGCCCCCUCCCCAGCCUGGGGCUGGCACAACCACAAGCGUCUGCUGGGCACACAGCAACCCUUCCCCUUCCUGCUCCAGCGCAGCCUUAAUUAAAAAUAAACUGUCAGACACCAUAAAAAAAUAAAAGUUAAAUGUGCUCUCUGGGAAGCCUUUGUGAGGGCAUCAGGCAAAGCCUGCUGGCUGUGGCCAGGGGAGGUACAUGGGAGGGGAUUUGCCAAAAUGCAGUCCUGCUUCCCUGCCAGGCUGCUGGUACAUUAUUUAAACUCUUUGAAAAAACAGCUCAAUGUAUGCCAUGCAUUGAACCCCCCCAGCUCUGCCUGCGGCCUCAGGCUCUCCUUUGACAGCACUUCUUGCGUUCAUCUCCAUUUUGCUAUUGCUUCUCUCACUUGAAGGCAGACAUCCCCUUGCCCAGCGUUCAUACUCACCCAGUUCUCGAGUGUACUGCUGCUCAUGUGUGAUGAUUGCUGCUAAUUACAUCUUUCACAGAAGCCAGAUGCCGAGCCACCAGCCCUGGGCACUGCUCGGCACUUGCCCUGCUGCCUGCAGCUGCUGGCAGGGAUGCUCCCCUUGGCAAACCGAGGCUGAUGACCAUAAGCAGAGCUGGCUGGAAACCACAACACUUCUGGAGGAGUGAGCUGGGCUCUUGCAAAUGCAUCGAAGCUCUUGCUGGACACCACAGGAACAGGGAAUAUUCCUGAACGCUCUCCUUCCUACUGAUGUUCUGGUAUUUGAUAUUCAGAGAACAGGCAUGUAGCACCCUGCUGCUCUGGGAUCGAGGGGUGCAGGGGUAGAAUGUGGCUCCUAUGCUUGGGUUUGUUGUCCUGGUAUCCCCUGCCAGCACGCUGCUCCUCGCUGCUCCACUACGCAUAGCCUCUCACCGCAUUAAUUAUCGCGCACAGAAGGGUAAGACAUAAAUUACAGCCCAGUGCGUUUUAAUUGCACGUUCUUAAUACAUAGGCCUUGUUGCUAAUUAUCCCCGUUCUCCCAAGCAGCUUAAAAUUCUGAAGCCCUGAACUGUGGCUUCCGAGGAGCAAGGCUGCCAAGGCAGGAGCGUGAGUCCCUUCUUGCCACAAAGAGGGCUGAAAUAUGGCUGGAAACACGAAAAUAGCUGUUUCUUCUCCAGCUUCAACCUGCUCAGAGACUAAUGCCCUCCUAUGGGAUGUGUCAGUGGUUGUGGCAGAGAAAGAGACAGAAGCAUGUCUUCACUGUGAGGUAGUCUGUGGGACGGCCUGCCACCUAUGCUCGGUUUGCAUGAAUUAGGGAACAAAAUCAGAGAACCAUCUGUAAGAAUAACUGCGGGUGUUAAUUACACAUGGCAGCAGCUCUGCAUGCUGCUGCCGAAACCUCAGGUGAACCUGGAACUGAGCAGAUAACACACGAUCGUUGCACGGCUUGCUGGAGACUGUCGCUUUUUUGCUCUUAACGUUGUUUUUAAAGAGGUAUUCCAGCAUUUACCUGGUCUACCACUGAGAUGCUUGGAUUUCCUGCAUGUGGGGUGCAAGGGUUUGAAAUAAAAGCAAUCGCUUCUUUUAUUACUAGU